AUUGAACGCUGGCGGCAUGCUUUACACAUGCAAGUCGAACGGUAACAGGUCUUCGGAUGCUGACGAGUGGCGAACGGGUGAGUAAUACAUCGGAACGUGCCUAGUAGUGGGGGAUAACUACUCGAAAGAGUAGCUAAUACCGCAUGAGAUCUACGGAUGAAGGCAGGGGACCUUCGGGCCUUGUGCUACUAGAGCGGCUGAUGGCAGAUUAGGUAGUUGGUGGGGUAAAGGCUUACCAAGCCUGCGAUCUGUAGCUGGUCUGAGAGGACGACCAGCCACACUGGGACUGAGACACGGCCCAGACUCCUACGGGAGGCAGCAGUGGGGAAUUUUGGACAAUGGGCGAAAGCCUGAUCCAGCAAUGCCGCGUGCAGGAUGAAGGCCCUCGGGUUGUAAACUGCUUUUGUACGGAACGAAAAGCCUGGGGCUAAUAUCCCCGGGUCAUGACGGUACCGUAAGAAUAAGCACCGGCUAACUACGUG
rnacentral:rRNA from 1 species